ensembl:snoRNA
GCUGUGUUGUGUGCAUAGUUUUUGUCUGUGUCAUGUAGCAGUGUCUAUCUGUGUUCUGCAUUCAGACCCCGCUACUCACACAAACAUCAAGCCGUCGGAGAAUAAACUUGGGAUCAGAGUACUGGCCAAGUGUGUGUCUCUUGGGACAUGUCUCCCACGGGCCAGCCUCCAUAUUCCCAUACACUG